rnacentral:misc_RNA from 1 species
GGGUCUUAAGGCCAAACAACCUGCUACAAUUCAGGUUAAGGUGCCCAAGCUUAAUGUUGCUCCGCCCCAACCGGCGCCUGUAGGUGAUGGGGGUGGUGGAAGCGGUGGGGAUGGUGAGGAGGCGGCUGCUAUUGCUUCAGCUCAGAGUAAGCGUGUUGCUUUGCAGAAAAAAGCCGCUGCUGCAUCUAUGGUGGCUGAGGAUUUUGCUAGACGAUUUGAGUCUGGGGAUGUGGAGGGCUCCAUGAAAGAUGUUGGUGGAGAAGAACAGGGUCUAUC